rnacentral:rRNA from 1 species
AUGCUGCGUUACCUAUCACUUGUUUACCAUGCCUCCCAUAUUGCCAUGUCAGCCUUAACCUUUUCACCCUUCCUAGCAAACAAUUGCUUGGCUAUAUUACCGCUUUGCUCAGCCCCUCUUAUAGCAUUGUUAGUUGCAGGUGAAGUUGAAGAUUGCUCCAUGUUGGACCGGAUUAUGUUGGGAUAUCACAAUAUCUCUUAUUUAAUUAAUGCAUCUAUAUACUUGGUAAAGGGUGGAAGGCUCGGCCUUAUGCCUGGUGUUUUGUUCCACUCUUGCCGCCCUAGUUUCCGUCAUACCGGUGUUAUGUUCCUUGAUUUUGCGUUCCUUACGCGGUUGGGUGAUUUAUGGGACCCCCUUGACAGUUCGCUUUGA